rnacentral:rRNA from 1 species
GACGAACGCUGGCGGCGUGCCUAAUACAUGCAAGUCGAACGCUUCUUUCCUCCCGAGUGCUUGCACUCAAUUGGAAAGAGGAGUGGCGGACGGGUGAGUAACACGUGGGUAACCUACCCAUCAGAGGGGGAUAACACUUGGAAACAGGUGCUAAUACCGCAUAACAGUUUAUGCCGCAUGGCAUAAGAGUGAAAGGCGCUUUCGGGUGUCGCUGAUGGAUGGACCCGCGGUGCAUUAGCUAGUUGGUGAGGUAACGGCUCACCAAGGCCACGAUGCAUAGCCGACCUGAGAGGGUGAUCGGCCACACUGGGACUGAGACACGGCCCAGACUCCUACGGGAGGCAGCAGUAGGGAAUCUUCGGCAAUGGACGAAAGUCUGACUGAGCAACGCCGCGUGAGUGAAGAAGGUUUUCGGAUCGUAAAACUCUGUUGUUAGAGAAGAACAAGGACGUUAGUAACUGAACGUCCCCUGACGGUAUCUAACCAGAAAGCCACGGCUAACUACGUG